rnacentral:lncRNA from 1 species
CAGUGCACUACCCAGAGAACUAAAUAAGGCCGGGAUGGGAUCUUGAAAGCACUCGAUGCCAGCUGGGUUCUGCCAACCUCUGGUCCUGCCAAACGGAAUCCCCUAAGAGCUCUUAUCUGUGCAGUACUCUUACUGGGGCCACCCAACUUCCAGCGCCCUUCACUUCUUUCAGAAAGUCAUGUGCUGUCUCAACUUCAUUUCCCAACGCGAGGUUACAUUUAUUCUGUAGCCAUAGAGCUCCUGUAGGCGUAUUUGCCCGUCCCCCAUCAUUUCACACCAAAGUAUCAUCAAACUCUGCUUAUUUGCACUUUCAGCCUGUGCCUUCUCACCAGGAAGAGAGCACGGACAGAGCUGGAGCUGUGUAUUUGCUCAGGCUGCACCAUUUAAGUCACGAUCACCCAGGCUGCCCAUAGCUUUCUGAUGUCCUUCCCACAGGUGCUCCCCAGCUGCUGGCUGCAGCGCACAGCACCAGGGAUGGAGGUUUGCCCCGCACACAGCAGACGUGGAUACCAUAAGAACUGUGGUCUUCGAUUAAGUCCAGAACCGCACAUUCUACAUGUCAGCUAUUUAUAUUUCAACAAACAAUGCAUUUCAUAGCCCCAUCCUUUGAAAGCCUCCAGGAGUCGCAGCCGGCACAAAGCACAGCGCAGCAACAGUUACAUCUGAGCUCACACAGGAAAGAGAGCACCGGCUUUUCUCAUGUCCAACGGAUGGAUGUGGAGGGAAGUCAACAGUGCCGAGUGCUGAAGGCACAGACUGCAGCAGCACGAGGGGUCAGCGAUGAGUUUGACCCGCUGUGGCCACCGCUCUGCAAUUUAAUUAACAUUUCCAUUCUAAAGAAGCCCAACCCAUUUGCAAGUACUAAGUAACAUGGUAAAUAUGGAACAAAUUAUCGGCAACAGCAGGGGACAUUUAAAAUAUGCAUCUUGAGUUCAGAGCCACUCAGAAACCUGCGGUGAUGCAGUCACUCAAACACAGCCAUCCUUAU